rnacentral:tRNA from 1 species
AUCUCUCUAGUAUAAAUAGUACAACUAUUUUCCACAUAGUAAGAUUAAUUGAAAUUAAGAGUGAUA